GCUUUUUGACUAGUGGAAAUGUUCCCAGUACUGUUACAGUAACUUUAGAAUAUUAGAAUGUAAACUGAAGAAGGUAAAGUAAGUGUGUGGCUUUUAUACAGAUAGAUUUUUAGAGGAGGUGGUCUCAUAUUCAUUCAUUUCAUAGGAGGAAAUUCUCAUAUCUUUCCUGUUAUUCAUCAUCUAACUUGUCAUUGUUAAAAGUAGCUGAAUUUGCAAAGCAUAGAUCAUCUAACAAUGGGCUAUUUGCCUUGAAAGUCAAAGGCAAUCCAAUGGCAGAACAUUGUAUUGUGGCAGAAGGUUAAAAAAAUUUCCCAGUUUUGAGAAUAUCUUGGUUACUGUUUGGAACACUGAACCCACAUGUUAGCCAUAUGAAAUAGGAAAGAUACAUAAAAAAAAAAAAAAAAAGCAGAAAUAAAAUGGGAUUAAAAAAAUAAAAUAUGGUUCCCUCUGCUGUAACUAAAACCACCUUCAUUUUGAUUCCCAGAACUGGCCACUACAGGAAGAAACAUUGAAACAUUUCAUUCAUGAGUGGGAUCAAAUUUGCUUAAUUCCUGCCAAGUCUCCACCAGAAAAGGAAUUUCCAACAGCCACUGGAGAUAAAGAUGGUACUGCAAGAACUUCAUGGAGAUCCUGUAAACAAAGCAUACUGAUUCAUUUCCUGAAGGUCUGAAGUCACUAGAUCUCCUAGUCUCAGGCUGUGGUGUUGGUUCUGUUCAUUAAUUAUUAACUUAAGAUUUGAAGCAGGAAUUGCCUAUCUGCCAUUGUUAGGAUAAAAGCAAAUGUAAAAACAUGAGAGGUAUGUGCAUUUCAUAAAGAUUACAAAUUCUUUGAAAGUAGAAAAAUAAUGAGAAUGGCUGUCUUGAAGUACUGUUGGAAGAGUACAGGAAGGGAGGCAAAGGCUGAAAAUGCAGAAGUGUCUCAUUGGUCUCUAAAGUGGAUUUAAAGCUUGUAGAAAACACCUGUAUAGCAUGGGAUGUUAGAAUGAAAUGCCUCAAGAUUGUAUUUCCAUCUAGUGACUGUCUUGAUUUAGCAAUCCAUGUCAUACUUGAGAAUUAGUGUCUACUGUAUCCUACCUGUACAGCCAGAAUUUACUUUGGAGAUCCUGGAACGGAUCUGAGAUGGUUUAAAUUAUAGUAGUUGUGUAUCUAUGUGUUUAGACGGACUUUUGUUUUUUUCUUCUUUUCCUUUAUUAUUUAUAUACUCAGAAUACAAAAUUUGGCACUGUAAUUAAUAGAAAGUAUCCACAUGCUA
rnacentral:lncRNA from 1 species